AAAAAAAAAAGGGAUGGCCGACUUUCCCAGGCCUAUCCCUUAUUUCAGCAAGGCAUCAUCAUCUCCCGCGGUGUACUAACUACUUACGUGGCUGAGAAUCCCAGUCCAUUCAGAGCGAGGGAUUCCAGUUUUAAGAGGCGAUAUAGGUCAUCAGCAACGUAACGUGAAGAGCCAGCAGCUCAGUAUGGCUCGGCAUGAGUCGCUUCGACCGUGACCCAUUUGCAAAGAACACAGUGUUCCCCUGUCCCGGCAGUUGCCAUAGUAACGGUGAGGGGCGAGACGCAAGCUGUGGACAUCGUUUAUGCUGCCAAGCAGAGAUGAAAGAUGAAAGACAGAGGGAGGAAGGGAGGGAGGGAGGGAGAGAGUGUGUGUAAAUGAGAGACCCCACUUCAGACAACACUGAAUAAGAAUGCUUCAUUUUGGGAUACAAAAGAUGCAAAGAUGCAACAGAGCUUAAAACGAAGUGUACACAAAUGAUUCAGAGUUAGUGUGUGUGAACUUGGUAAAAUAUGUCUCAAAGACACGUCAUUCAUAAAAAUAAAACAUUGCUUUCACUAA